rnacentral:rRNA from 1 species
AGAGUUUGAUUCUGGCUCAGGAUGAACGCUGGCGGCGUGCCUAACACAUGCAAGUCGAACGGGGUAGCAAUACCUAGUGGCGGACGGGUGAGUAACGCGUGAGAAUUUGCCUUCAGGAUGGGGACAACAGCGGGAAACUGCUGCUAAUACCCGAUAGGCUGAAAAGUGAAAGAUUUAUCGCCUGAAGAGAAGCUCGCGUCUGAUUAGCUAGUUGGUAGUGUAAGGGACUACCAAGGCGACGAUCAGUAGCUGGUCUGAGAGGAUGAGCAGCCACACUGGGACUGAGACACGGCCCAGACUCCUACGGGAGGCAGCAGUGGGGAAUUUUCCGCAAUGGGCGAAAGCCUGACGGAGCAACGCCGCGUGAGGGAGGAAGGCCUUUGGGUUGUAAACCUCUUUUCUAGGGGAAGAAGCAAGUGACGGUACCCUAGGAAUCAGCAUCGGCUAACUCCGUGCCAGCAGCCGCGGUAAUACGGAGGAUGCAAGCGUUAUCCGGAAUUAUUGGGCGUAAAGCGUCCGCAGGUGGCUAUACAAGUCUGCUGUCAAAGACCGUAGCUUAACUACGGAAAGGCGGUGGAAACUGUAAGGCUAGAGGCCGGUAGGGGUAGCGGGAAUUUCCAGUGUAGCGGUGAAAUGCGUAGAGAUUGGGAAGAACAUCGGUGGCGAAAGCGCGCUACUGGGCUGUGCCUGACACUGAGGGACGAAAGCUAGGGGAGCGAAAGGGAUUAGAUACCCCUGUAGUCCUAGCCGUAAACGAUGGAGACUAGGCGUAGCUUGUAUCGACCCAAGCUGUGCCGAAGCUAACGCGUUAAGUCUCCCGCCUGGGGAGUACGCACGCAAGUGUGAAACUCAAAGGAAUUGACGG